rnacentral:rRNA from 1 species
AUUGAACGCUGGCGGCAUGCUUUACACAUGCAAGUCGAACGGUAACAGGCCGCAAGGUGCUGACGAGUGGCGAACGGGUGAGUAAUGCAUCGGAACGUGCCCAGUCGUGGGGGAUAACGCAGCGAAAGCUGUGCUAAUACCGCAUACGAUCUAUGGAUGAAAGCGGGGGACCGUAAGGCCUCGCGCGAUUGGAGCGGCCGAUGUCAGAUUAGGUAGUUGGUGGGGUAAAGGCCUACCAAGCCGACGAUCUGUAGCUGGUCUGAGAGGACGACCAGCCACACUGGGACUGAGCCACGGCCCAGACUCCUACGGGAGGCAGCAGUGGGGAAUUUUGGACAAUGGGCGCAAGCCUGAUCCAGCAAUGCCGCGUGCAGGAAGAAGGCCUUCGGGUUGUAAACUGCUUUUGUACGGAACGAAACGGUCUGGGUUAAUACCCUGGGCUAAUGGCGGUACCGUAAGAAUAAGCACCGGCUAACUACGUGCCAGCCGCCGCGGUAACAC